rnacentral:rRNA from 1 species
ACGCUCGACACCUACUGGAGGCAGCAGUGAGGAAUAUUGGUCAAUGGGCGCUAGCCUGAACCAGCCAAGUAGCGUGAAGGAUGAAGGCUCUAUGGGUCGUAAACUUCUUUUAUAUAAGAAUAAAGUGCAGUAUGUAUACUGUUUUGUAUGUAUUAUAUGAAUAAGGAUCGGCUAACUCCGUGUCAGCAGCCGCGGUAAUCUGAGCGGGCUGGCAAGGC